ACUCAGCCCGCCUGCACCCAGGUGAAAUAAACAGCCUUGUUGCUCACACAAAGCCUGUUUGGUGGUCUCUUCACAUGGACACGAGUGAAAGUUACCAUGCUUGGUCCUGCUUCCCACUGUUAUAAUAGGUAGAUUGGCAGAUAAGAGCAGGACAAGAAAGGGCCCCGAAGAAGAUCAGAUGAUUCCCAGAUGACUGUCUUGUGAUUGUCAGGUGGGCUCCUCAGGCAUUAUAAGAGAGUGAGUGACCUCAGAAUGCCACCCCCACUUCCUGCCCAGAGGUACCCAGCAAAGUAACUUCAAGUGGCUAACCACAUUUCAUUGUGAAUUUCAAUACCAGUUUACCUAGGAAAAUGUAUUCCAGAUACAUCAAAAGGAGCUGAAUGAAAAAUAUCAUGUAUAUGAAGCCCAAUAGCUGACUCAUCUAAUACAGUCUACUCUUCGUAACUUACUUCCUGUGAAAAAUUUAGGAAAAAAGGAUUCUGGGAGACUGUUGAAGGAAAUUCAUGAAGGGAAAUAUAGUUUCUGCUUGGCUGUUUCUUGGGACCCCUAAUCUUGGAACCCACAUGCCAUGCACUGAGGAAGCCCAAGCCACAUGUAGACGCAAUGUGCAGGUGUUCUCACUGAGACCUCCAGGUGAGGUCCAGCCAACUUUUGUCAUCCACUGCCAGUCAUGAAUAAAGAAGCUUUUGAGAUGACUCUAUCCCCCUUCUGGAGUCUGGGAAGUCUAAGAUCAACUUGCUUGCAGGUUCGGUGUCUGUUGCAGGCUGUUCUCUACUUUUAAUAUGGCAACCUCUGGAAUGGGAGAAAUGCUAGCAGCCCAAACCACUCUCUGCCUUCAGUAAGAAGAGAUACCCUGAAUGAGAACUACCCAGCAGAUCCUUGUCAAACCCAGACCCAUGAGAGAUUUGUAAUAAUAAUAAUAAUAAUAAUAAUAAUAAUAAUAAUAAUAAUAAUAAUAAAAUGUU
rnacentral:lncRNA from 10 species